rnacentral:rRNA from 1 species
AUGGCCUACACCUAUCCCCGGCGACCGGCUGCCAGAUCGACGGCCAAACCACCCGCAAAGGACUGGCUGCUAGAAGAAUAUGGACAUGAUUGGCUGAGCAAUUUGCCCGAUGAUAUCCUGCUCAACAUUGUCGAACGUCUUGACAUUGCUGAUGUCGCACGAACCAGUGUCCUCUCCAACCGGUGGAAGGAGGUCCCUGCCAUGCUCUCCAAAAUCGUCAUAACAGUCGAUUCCUUUAAGCGCAAGCUUCCCAAGUCGAACUUACCCUGCUUUGAUGCUCAUCCCAAUUCCACCAUGAUUGAAGCAACUAACAGCAUAUUGGGAAAUAGGAGCUGUACAAAUCUAUACACCAUUCGACUACUGCGCAUGGAAUUCUACUUGGGAGAUGACUGUGUUUACAUCGGCCAGGCUGUUACCGAUACCAUUGUAACACAGAAUGUUGGUAUGGCUGAAUUCACAGUCAUGACGAAGAAGGAAGUUACACAGUGCACCGAUAAAGAUUUGCUCUACUACGGAAGGAAGUUCAUGUCAUUUUUUUACACUUGUCCCAACGCAUUCAAUGCUCUCACAGGCCUCAAGCUACAGAAUUUGAGGCUAGCUGAAUCAGAGUUACCUGAAAUUGUCAGUACAUGCAAGCGAUUAGAGUUCCUCCACUUGCUAAACUGUGACAUGGGCAAGUUGUCUUUCCUAGAAUUGGAACACCCGCAACUCAGUGAACUUGAGAUUGUCGACAGCGAAUUUGAGCGGGUUGAUCUGAAGUGGCUACCAAAGCUCACUGUUCUGACAUUUUCUGAUUGGAUCACUCAGCAUGAUCCGUUGUCUUUUGGUUAUGUCCCACUGCUCAAGAGUGUGAGCAUCAGUAAUACGGCUCUUUCAUACCACAAGAUGCUCAAAUUAAGUGAGUUUCUUGGCAAAGUCACCAUUAGGGACCUGCAUUUGAACUUUGAAAGCGAGAAGAUUUGGAUUAAACCUGAGGCGCCAAGAGAAUUAUCCAAUGUGUUCCACAAACUACAGAUUGUUAGUUUGCUUAACAUUUCAGAAGAGUGUGAUCUGACUUGGACAAUGUUCAUUCUCCAAGGCGCACCUUCCCUUAAGGAGCUAUGCAUCAGAGUGUGGGAUCAUUUCUGUGAUACAAUACUGGAUGAAGAGGAGAGGAAGAAGUAUUCGUAUAGCGAGGAGCCGAAGGAUAGUGGAUUAGAAUGUGUCGGAUCUGCAUCUGGUUUCAAGCACCACAGCUUGGCUGUGCUCAGGAUUUUUGGGUUUCAGACAGAAGAGAAGUUUAUGAGUUACAUAAAAAGUAUCAUGGAAGCAGCGGUGAAUCUUGAGAACAUCUACUUGCAUAACAGGCCGGUGUGCAAGAUAUGCCAGCACAUGGUUCGAAAGCCAUCGAGAUACCCAUGGACAAGCAAGCAGAAGAUUUCGGUCAGGAACAAAAUCAACAGCGAGAUGUGCUCAGCUGUGGAAAUCCACUUCCCCAAGUAA